ensembl:misc_RNA 7SK 7SK RNA
GGAUGUGAGGGCGAUUUGGCUGUGACAUCUGUCACCCCAUUGAUCGCCAGGUUGAUUCAGCUGAUCUGAAUGGCUAGGCGGGUGUCCCCUUCCUCCCACACCACUCCAUGUGUGUCCCUCCCAAAGCUGUGUGUUCAGUCGAAGAGGACGGCCUUCCCCAAAUAGAGAUGGACCCGUCUUUGGUUGAGGGUAUACCAGUAGCUGCACUCCCCUGCUAGAACCUCCAAACAAGCUCUCAAGAAUAAAUAAAUAUAAUAUUUAAAGAAAGAAGUAUGUUCAUGUACCCAUAUUACUCAAGGACCGAAGUUCAUGCCCCUGGUCCCCUAC